CGCGUUCGGGAUGCCGGGGGCGGGUGGGUGGCUAAGACACCAGCCCCCCACCCCACCCCCUUACACUGCCGUCUGCCCCCUUGGCUUGACCGCCGCGAUCUUGCUAUCGCCUACCUAGCUCUCCUCCUGGCCAACCCCAGGCUAUCUGGAGAGAUGGGAAAAGUGUGGCGAUGCGGAAAAAGUCGGUUUUUCCUCGAGCGGGCGAGGUGCUGUCCCCUCACGCUGUCCACCUGCAGCGCCAGGAAGAAGCUGAGUUCCUAUGAGGCUGUCCACUCAAAGACUUCCACAUCCAAAUUCAUGUCAUAUCAAGCACUGAUGCUAUUUUUUCUGCAUUGCCUUCAGGAAACCAUAAAGUAACCUCACAAGUAAAUGUGGACUGCUCAGCUGCCCAAAGUAUGGGGAAUGGGAAUCUGAAGGACCAGG
rnacentral:lncRNA from 1 species